CAGCGUUCUCGAAAGGGGCUCCCAAGGCUCCAUCACACCAGGUCCUACCUGCACCUGUCCUGGAAGCUCCUGUUCAGACCACACCUGUCUUCUUUGCACAUCGCAUCACAGGGCCGUGUCUUCCGCCCGUUCUUUGCACAUGCCGCCCCUGUGGCCUUCCUGAUCCUGCCCAUCCCUCGUGUCUGAGCUCAGGCACACCCCUUUCUCACUCACACCCUCUGUGACCUCCAGCCCGGGCCAGGUGUCUUGUCACGUGUCUCAGAGAGCCGUUCGUCUGUGCUAACACUCGGCGCGGCCUCUGGAUGGAUAUACGUCGAUCUGUCAUUACUUGAGUCUCCCUUGCUAGCCCGGGCCUUCAUGAGACUAGGAACUAUGUCUGUUUUUAACCAGUGUAUGCUCAGCCGCUUGCAAGGUGCCGGGCACGACGUGCCUGCUCUAUACAUGCCCGUUGAGUGAAUAGAGCCACCAAGUUGCCUCCAGAAAGGGCCUUUGAUGUCUGUGCCAACUCAUCAGAAUAAUGGCAGCUCUGGAAAAAAAGUACAUAUUUGAUGUCACAGAGAAGAAUCCUAACAGAAAAGAAUGCUCUGAACCUUCUAAGGCACAUAUACGAGGGAAACGGAGUCUAGCUUCUCAGCUUAAUGAUGAGUUUGAUGCUUUUUUCCCCGUAGGAUUGUGACGAAUGUAACAUGACCAGAUGCCACCACAUUCUACCAUGGCAAAAGUCAGGCCUGUCCCUGGGUGGAGCCCAGCGUGGAUUUCUGGCCACGUGUACACCUGGAAUUUCCUGAUCUGAUGUCACUAAAUAUUUUCAGUAAAGGCAACUAUUAUGUGACAAAAUAAAAAAAAACCCUUCAUUUUCAUACCUUUGUAAAACUUGAUGAUAAAACAGAUCAGAAAAAAUGA